GGGCCGCUAGCUCAACUGGCAGAGCAGCAUCCUUUUAAGUUGCAAGUUCCGAGUUCGAACCUCGGGCGGCCCA
rnacentral:tRNA from 1 species